rnacentral:rRNA from 1 species
UACGGAGGGUGCAAACGUUGCUCGGAAUCAUUGGGCGUAAAGCGCACGUAGGCGGCCGACUAAGUCGGAUGUGAAAGCCCAGGGCUCAACCCUGGAAGUGCAUUCGAAACUGGCCGGCUUGAAUAUGGAAGAGGGUCGCGGAAUUCCCGGUGUAGAGGUGAAAUUCGUAGAUAUCGGGAGGAACACCAGUGGCGAAGGCGGCGACCUGGGCCAAUAUUGACGCUGAGGUGCGAAAGCGUGGGGAGCAAACAGG